AUGGAGGAGUUUGGCUCUUAUAACACCCUGCAAGCAGCUAUUUCCUCCCAGGACCCUGCAUUUGACAGAGUCCUGGUAAAGUCCUUGACCCAGCAGCUGGUACAAGGAUGCAAGGAGGCGUCAAGACCAGCUUCUGCUGCAACAAACCCAUCAGACCAGGCUGAGACAGAGAGGGGGGCUGAGCAGAAAGCAAGAAGGAGCUUCCUUUGCUUUUCAAUGACCAAACUCAGGAUCAACUUCAAGCGUUCCAAGAGAGGAAACAAAAAGGACUGCCAUUCAGUCCAGGAACAGACUGAAAUUCCCUCUACUGAUGCACAUUGCAUAGAUCCAGCCCCAGACGGUGGCCCUGACGCAGACUACAUCUUCAGCCCAGCCCCAGGUCCAGAUGAUUCCAGCAGGCACAGCCACAGCCCAGGUGGUUCAGCAGAAGCUCCUCCAGCAGCAGGUGGUGACUGCAGCUGCCUCGCCUCAGAUACAGACCCCACCCUCCACACAGCCCGGCCCAACAUGCCCCAGUUUCCGCUGUAGCAGAGUCCCCAGUACAGCAGCAGCCAGCCAAGGGCCAGGCCACGGAGGGGCCAUGAGGGGCAAGACCCAGGCCAAGCCCAGCGGGGGCAGCAGCUAGGUGCCCACAGGACUAGUUAGUGCUCCCCUUUCAGCUAGGCUAAGCAGGACAUCUCAUCAGUGUAAAUGCACUCAGUGACUGAGGAGCAGCAUUAUGAAGAGAUCCAGCGUUAUGAAGGAGUGGUGGAGUCCAGUUUGAGGUGGCUGUGUUGAAUCUAACCUGGUUUAAGGAACUGCUCCAUAUAAAGGAAUGACCUGUCUUUUAAGAGUGUCAUCAUCUAUCUUCAACACAGUACUGUAACUGUCGGCUGUUUCCUUCGACUGUUUCAGAAGGUCUCCCCUGGAGGAAACCUGGACCAACAUCCAGGGGGAGGUUUAAGAUCAGAAAAGCAGAAAAACAAUAUUCAUGCCUUUUUUUAAAUUGAUGAAUAUAUUAAUGUUACUCCAUAGAUAUCCUGUGGCUAUGGGCUGGUGCAUGGCUCAUUUGGGGAAUGUCCAUUUGAAUAAUGUUUUGUGUAUUCAUACAUUGUCCCUGUCCGCCUUGAUGAUAUUAUUCUCAUGCUUACCGUUUAUGAUGUCUGUAAUUUCAUAGUUGGUAGAUAUAGAAAACACCCUUCUUGUUAAAAAAAGGUAUCUUGAUAAAGUAAUGCAUAUUAAUGAGGCUACAUCUCAGUAGUACAGAUGCAUUGCAUUGCCUACCAGAACGAUAAAGGUGGGAGGACUUCCGUCCUCAUGCUAAUUGUCAUUGUGAAAGUUAUUCACAGACAUCAAAGCCCUGAGUCAUUAGUGAAUGCAUUUUUACCUGUAGAAACACAUUCACAUAACCCUUUUCAAUGUAUCAAUUUAACAUUGACAGAAGUGUCCCUAAAAGUUAGCUCGUUAAUUGUUUGCAUAAGAGGGAACUUGACUCUUAAAUGGAACAUUUCAGGGUUUUUUUUGUAACCUUCAGAUAUUUAAUGGAUAAUAAUGCAUUUUCCUUCAGUCUAUUAUGUUUAUGUAACAAAUACACUGUAAACAUGUACUUUAGAAUAUUGUGUUUUCUCAUAAAUAUGCCAUUUUUUUAUUGAUGUUGAAGAAAAAAAACUGUAAAUAACAAUGAAAAAGGAAAACAUUUGUACUUGUAAAGUAGUUGUGUUUUCAGCCUAAUUGUAAUAAAGUGUUUUGUUUUUAUACACAAUAUCUGGUCUGACCUAAGUAGUGAUAAUCAUAUCUUUACGUUGUAAGUUUGAGCCAUGUAGUCUGAAGAAAGCUUGUGAUUGUGUCUCUGGCACCCUACGUUAUCUCCCAAGAAAGGCAAUAUUACCACUGCACUGGAUAACCUAUCUAUCUAUAGGGGCAACCAGCUAAUAUUUUCAUUACAUACAGUGCAUUCGGAAAGUAUUCAGACCCCUUGACUUUUUCCACAUUGUUACAGCCUUAUUCUAAAAUUGAUUCAAUUGCCCCCCCCUACAGAUAAUAACCCAUAAUAAGAAAGCAAAAACAGGUUUUUGAUUAAAAAAAUAAUAAAACAAUGUACUAAAAAUGAAAUAUCACAUUUACAAAUAUUCAGACCCUUUACUCAGUACUUUGUUGAAGCACCUUUGACAGCGAUUACAGCCUCGAGUCUUCUUGGGUAUGACGCUACAAGCUUGGUACACCUGUAUUUGGGGAGUUUCUCCCAUUUUUCUCUGCAGAUCCUCUCAAGUUCUGUCAGAUUGGAUAGGGAGCGUCGCUGCAGUUUUUUCAGGUCUCUCCAGAGAUGUUCGAUCGGGUUCAGGUCCGGGCUCUGGCUGUUCCAUUCAUGGACAUUCAGAGACUUUUCCCGAAUCCACUCCUGCAUUGUCUUGGCUGUGUGCUUAGGGUCGUUGUCCUGUUGGAAGGUGCACCUCUGGAGCAGGCUUUCAUCACGGAUCUCUGUACUUUCCUCCGUUCAUCUUUCCCAGGAUCCUGAUUCAGGCCAAAGAGUUCAAUCUCGGUAUCAUCAGAUCAGAGAAUAUUGUUUCUCAUACCCUUCCCCCAGGUCUGUGUUUCUUUCCAAAUCAUGUCCAAUCAAUUUAAUUUACCACAGGACUCCAAAGAAGUUGUAGAAACAUCUCAAGGAUGAUCACUGGAAACAGGAUGCACCUGAGCUCAAUUUCGAGUCUCAUAGCAAAGGGUCUCAAUUAUUGAAAUAAGGUAAUUCUGUUUUUAUUCUUAAUAAAUUUGCUAAAAUGUUCUACACUUUUCGCUUUGUCAUGAGGUGUUUUGUGUAGCUUAAUGAGAGGAAAACGUAACAAUGUGGAAAAAGUCAAGUGGUCUGAAUACUUUCCGGGUGCACUGUAAGUUUACUAUUUAUAACACAUUUCCUGUGAUAUAACCGUUGGGAAAUAAUGGGUACUACUACCGUAUAAUAGGUUAAAUCAAAAAAUGGAAUAUGCUGCAAAAGCCUUUCUCAGUGUUUUAGUCAUGAGGGAGAAAAGAAAGCUCUCAACAGCGCUGUCUGUUUCCCCCUGCUGGCUGCUGACAGUGGCAGAUAUAUCAGAAGAGAACACAUUUAUUUGAGCAGGAGGGCAGAGAUUCAGGCCUAAAGCCACUCAGAAGAUCCUAGAUCACUGGAUCAGAGGGCAUGUCACACAGUGUCAGAAGAGUCAGACUGUGUAGAAGGGCUAUACACACCACUAUAGUUAAUGUUGCUAUCACUGCUAACAUUUAAAAGACCAGUAUUGUAAUCUGGUCUGUUAACGGGAGCACAUAAGAAGACAAAGGCCAAUUUAAUGCAAUGA
ensembl:lncRNA